rnacentral:misc_RNA from 1 species
UUUUAUUUGUGGUUAGGUAUUACAAUUCGCAGGGCACGACAAAGAAAGUCCCCAACACUCCAAAAUAAUGUACAACAGUAUGACCACCACCCGCAGAGCCAUCCUCCAUAGAGAACCAACACCUCUCCCCUUAAUAUGAUACAUCCUCUUAACAAGCAUCCUAUGGGGAAUCCUACCAUUGAAAACUUAAGAAUUCAACAGAGGUAAAUGGAUGGUAAUGGAGCGAGAUAAUCAAUCUAGAACUCUUUGUAACUGCAAUCUUUGAGUAGAACUUAUGUGAAAGGCAACUCUGCUUCUGUAACUCUCUCACUUGUCUCCUUCAAAAUUCCAUUUCUCCUCUAAAUUUUCUGAGAAUUUCGAUGACCAGAUGGACUCGGUGCAUUUCUUGAACCAAUACUUGCUGUUCUUAGCAGCCUACGAAAUUCUGAAAGGCUUAUUUUACCAUCUUUAUCAAU